GACAGAGGGUGCAAACGUUGUUCGGAUUUACUGGGCGUAAAGCGCGUGCAGGCGGCUUUGCAAGUCGGAUGUGAAAGCCCACGGCUCAACCGUGGAAGUGCAUCCGAAACUGCAUGGCUUGAGUCUCGGAGAGGAAGGUGGAAUGCUUGGUGUAGAGGUGAAAUUCGUAGAUAUCAAGCAGAACACCUGCGGCGAAGGCGGCCUUCUGGACGAUGACUGACGCUGAGACGCGAAAGCGUGGGGAGCAAACAGG
rnacentral:rRNA from 1 species